rnacentral:rRNA from 1 species
CUACGGUGGGCUGCAGUGGGGAAUAUUGGACAAUGGGCGAAAGCCUGAUCCAGCCAUGCCGCGUGUGUGAAGAAGGCCUUCGGGUUGUAAAGCACUUUCAGUGGGGAAGAAAGCCUUGGGGCUAAUACCCUCGAGGAAGGACAUCACCCACAGAAGAAGCACCGGCUAACUCCGUGCCAGCAGCCGCGGUAAUACGGAGGGUGCGAGCGUUAAUCGGAAUUACUGGGCGUAAAGCGCGCGUAGGCGGUCUGAUAAGCCGGUUGUGAAAGCCCCGGGAUCAACCUGGGAACGGCAUCCGGAACUGUCAGGCUAGAGUGCAGGAGAGGAAGGUAGAAUUCCCGGUGUAGCGGUGAAAUGCGUAGAGAUCGGGAGGAAUACCAGUGGCGAAGGCGGCCUUCUGGACUGACACUGACGCUGAGGUGCGAAAGCGUGGGUAGCAAACAGGAUUAGAUACCCGUGUAGUC